ACGGGUGCGUAACACGUGGGUAAUCUGCCUGGGAGAUCGGGAUAACCUGCCGAAAGGCAAGCUAAUACCGGAUAAGCCCACGAGGUCUUUGGACCUCGAGGGAAAAGAUGGCCUCUGUAUACAAGCUAUCACUUCCAGAUGAGCCCGCGGCCCAUCAGCUAGUUGGCGGGGUAAUGGCCCACCAAGGCGACGACGGGUAGCUGGUCUGAGAGGACGAUCAGCCACACUGGAACUGAGACACGGUCCAGACUCCUACGGGAGGCAGCAGUGGGGAAUUUUGCGCAAUGGGCGAAAGCCUGACGCAGCAACGCCGCGUGUGUGAUGAAGGUCUUCGGAUCGUAAAGCACUUUCGACCGGGACGAAAACCCGCUGGCUAACAUCCAGCGAUUUGACGGUACCGGGAGAAGAAGCACCGGCUAACUCUGUGCCAGCAGCCGCGGUAAUACAGAGGGUGCAAGCGUUGUUCGGAAUUAUUGGGCGUAAAGCGCGUGUAGGCGGCCGUGCAAGUCGGGUGUGAAAGCCCUCGGCUUAACCGAGGAAGGGCGCCCGAAACUGCAUGGCUUGAGUACCGGAGAGGAUGGCGGAAUUCCC
rnacentral:rRNA from 1 species